UACGUAGGACGCGAGCGUUAUCCGGAUUCACUGGGCGUAAAGCGCCUGCAGGCGGUUUCGUAAGUUGGGUGUGAAAGCCCCAGGCUUAACCUGGGGAGGCCAUUCAAUACUGCGGAGCUUGAGGACGGGAGAGGGAAGCGGAAUUCCCGGUGUAGCGGUAAAAUGCGCAGAUAUCGGGAGGAACACCAGUGGCGAAGGCGGCUUCCUGGCCCGUUCCUGACGCUCGGAGGCGAAAGCUAGGGGAGCAAACAGG
rnacentral:rRNA from 1 species